rnacentral:rRNA from 1 species
GACGAACGCUGGCGGCGUGCUUAAUACAUGCAAGUCGAGGGGCAGCACGGGUAGCAAUACCUGGUGGCGACCGGCAAACGGGUGCGGAACACGUACGCAACCUUCCCAUAACUGGUGGAUAGCCCUCCGAAAGGAGGAUUAAUACACCGUAACAUAAUGAAGAGGCAUCUCUUUAUUAUUAUAGGCUUCGGCCGGUUUUGGAUGGGCGUGCGCCUGAUUAGGUAGUUGGCGGGGUAACGGCCCACCAAGCCUGCGAUCAGCAACUGGUGUGAGAGCACGACCAGUCACACGGGCACUGAGACACGGGCCCGACUCCUACGGGAGGCAGCAGUAAGGAAUAUUGGUCGAUGGACGAAAGUCUGAACCAGCCAUGCCGCGUGAAGGAUUAAGGCCCUCUGGGUUGUAAACUUCUUUUAUCUGGGACGAAAAAAGGGUAUUCUUACUCACUUGACGGUACCAGAGGAAUAAGCACCGGCUAACUACGUGCCAGCCGCCGCAGUAACAC